UCAUUCCAAGAUUGUUACUAAUACAAUGGUAGUAUUUGCAAGUUUACGUGACUUGAUGGUAACAGGUAGAAGACACAGGUCAGUACCCAGAAUACGGAAAUUAUGUUAAAGUUUCCACGCAUAUCAAUGCGCAUAUAUAUCUCAAAUUAAUUGUGAUAAACAGAUGACAGAUAAUAUUAAAGAUAAAGGGAACGAGAUAUGGGAUUUAGUAUAAGCGGGCCCUCACUGAUAAUAGAGAGAGAAAACUUCGAUAUACCACUCUUUAUCUAUAUCUACUCUAUUCUGAUCGAAUCGUCAUGACGUCCAAGUUUCAAAGGCAAAAGAGGGAAAUAAAAAGUGUUGAUUUUAAUAGCGCUUUCUCUAUUUCAUAUAUUAACUCUAUCAGUAUUAAUAUUUCUCUUAAUAAUUUAAUAAGUGAUUACCUGAGAAAAAUUUCCGAUUAACUUAAAACAAUUAUAAUUGUUAACUUAAAACAAUUAUAAUUGUUUUUAAUUCUUGUUUUUAAAUCAUUAAAAACUACCAGUAGAAUAAAAUCGUGCGAGAUUUAUGUCUAAGCUAUUAUCAAGAGGCACC